CUUUGUAAGUCUAACACAAUGUUUUGAAUAUUGACCAAAAAAUAAAGCUACCUUUCGGGUUAAAUUUCAUACAGCAACGUCAUGAAUAGUAGAGAUAGACACAGACACGACCAAUAAGAUAAUAUUUCAAGUUAUUUUUGUCGAUGCAAGAAACAUGUCAUCAGGAAAGGAAAAUUACCAGCGUCUGAAUGAACUAUUAAAUCGAUUAGUAUAUCCAACGUGUGAAAAGAUUCUCGAAAAUCAUCUUCGAGAAAAUACAGUAUCGUUCUACCAAUUCCUAGAGACUAACAAACAUCGUAUCGUGCACUGUUUUCGUGUCAAUACAACUUGCUGUUCACUGCAUGCUAACUGUACAUACCCAAUAUCGGCAACAUUGACCAAAAGACAAUGGAGUUUCUUGUAUAAAGACGAAAAAACAAAUAGUUGCAAGAAGUCAGGUUGUAUUUGUCAAGUUAUUACAACAUGCACAACAUUUAGGAAUCUUGAUCUGAAUGUUAUAUGUUUCCUUAUAAUCGAAUUCUCAAUGAUUGAUGGAUUAAACAUGGAAGCAUUAAAGAGACUGAAUGUAUUCAAUCAAGAAAUGCAGGACAUAAGAACAGGAAUAGUUCCGUAUAGUGAAUUUCAGACCAAAUGGAAUACAAAAACAGACAGUUUAAUUGUCCUAGGUGUUACUCAGCAGCAGAUAGAUAGAAUAAAGAAUUUGAGAGUAAAUCGCACACCUACUCCUACUGUUUUAGAUGACAGGGGCUGCAGAAGUGUAUGUUAUAAAAUACUACUAAAUGCACUAAUCGUAU